CCUACGGGUGACUGCAGUGAGGAAUAGUGGUCAAUGGACGAGAGUCUGAACCAGCCAAGUAGCGUGAAGGAUGACUGCCCUAUGGGUUGUAAACUUCUUUUAUAUGGGAAUAAAAUGUUCCACGUGUGGGAUUUUGUAUGUACCAUAUGAAUAAGGAUCGGCUAACUUCGUGCCAGCAGCCGCGGUAAUACGGAGGAUCCGAGCGUUAUCCGGAUUUAUUGGGUUUAAAGGGAGCGUGGGUGGAUUGUUAAGUCAGUUGUGAAAGUUUGCGGCUCAACCGUAAAAUUGCAGUUGAAACUGGCAGUCUUGAGUACAGUAGAGGUGGGCGGAAUUCGUGGUGUAGCGGUGAAAUGCUUAGAUAUCACGAAGAACUCCGAUUGCGAAGGCAGUUCACUGGACUGCAACUGACACUGAGGCUCGAAAGUGUGGGUAUCAAACAGGAUUAGAUACCCCAGUAGUC
rnacentral:rRNA from 1 species